ACUCGCUGGGACUUGCGUCGG
rnacentral:misc_RNA from 1 species